UGCAGUCGAGCGGACAGAUGGGAGCUUGCUCCCUGAUGUUAGCGGCGGACGGGUGAGUAACACGUGGGUAACCUGCCUGUAAGACUGGGAUAACUCCGGGAAACCGGGGCUAAUACCGGAUGCUUGUUUGAACCGCAUGGUUCAAACAUAAAAGGUGGCUUCGGCUACCACUUACAGAUGGACCCGCGGCGCAUUAGCUAGUUGGUGAGGUAAUGGCUCACCAAGGCAACGAUGCGUAGCCGACCUGAGAGGGUGAUCGGCCACACUGGGACUGAGACACGGCCCAGACUCCUACGGGAGGCAGCAGUAGGGAAUCUUCCGCAAUGGACGAAAGUCUGACGGAGCAACGCCGCGUGAGUGAUGAAGGUUUUCGGAUCGUAAAGCUCUGUUGUUAGGGAAGAACAAGUACCGUUCGAAUAGGGCGGUACCUUGACGGUACCUAACCAGAAAGCCACGGCUAACUACGUGCCAGCAGCCGCGGUAAUACGUAGGUGGCAAGCGUUGUCCGGAAUUAUUGGGCGUAAAGGGCUCGCAGGCGGUUUCUUAAGUCUGAUGUGAAAGCCCCCGGCUCAACCGGGGAGGGUCAUUGGAAACUGGGGAACUUGAGUGCAGAAGAGGAGAGUGGAAUUCCACGUGUAGCGGUGAAAUGCGUAGAGAUGUGGAGGAACACCAGUGGCGAAGGCGACUCUCUGGUCUGUAACUGACGCUGAGGAGCGAAAGCGUGGGGAGCGAACAGGAUUAGAUACCCUGGUAGUCCACGCCGUAAACGAUGAGUGCUAAGUGUUAGGGGUUUCCGCCCCUUAGUGCUGCAGCUAACGCAUUAAGCACUCCGCCUGGGGAGUACGGUCGCAAGACUGAAACUCAAAG
rnacentral:rRNA from 1 species